AACUUCUCAACCACAUCAGUAUCUGAUGAUGGCUUGGAUGUGGGGGUUGUUUGCAGGCCUCUGUAAAAAAGAUGGUCGGCUCCCCUAAAAUGCAUUAGUGGUAUCUGAGGCUAUUACUAUCAGGUGUGAUAAUUAUCUAUGCCUUUGGUAUGCUGCAUGAACAGAUUACACUGCUUCUAACAAAAAACAAUUUUGAUGA
rnacentral:misc_RNA from 1 species